rnacentral:rRNA from 1 species
CCUACGGGAGGCUGCAGUCGAGAAUCAUUCACAAUGGGGGAAACCCUGAUGGUGCGACGCCGCGUGGGGGAAUGAAGGUCUUCGGAUUGUAAACCCCUGUCAUGUGGGAGCAAAUUAAAAAGAUCGUACCACAAGAGGAAGAGACGGCUAACUCUGUGCAAGCAGCCGCGGUAAUACAGAGGUCUCAAGCGUUGUUCGGAAUCACUGGGCGUAAAGCGUGCGUAGGCUGUUUCGUAAGUCGUGUGUGAAAGGCGCGGGCUCAACCCGCGGACGGCACAUGAUACUGCGAGACUAGAGUAAGGGAGGGGGAACCGGAAUUCUCGGUGUAGCAGUGAAAUGCGUAGAUAUCGAGAGGAACACUCGUGGCGAAGGCGGGUUCCUGGACAUUAACUGACGCUGAGGCACGAAGGCCAGGGGAGCGAAAGGGAUUAGAUACCCGAGUAGUC